rnacentral:rRNA from 1 species
CAAAGGAAGCGAUUCCGGCGGGGGAUGGGCAUGCGGCGCAUUAGCUAGUCGGCGGGGUAACGGCCCACCGAGGCGACGAUGCGUAGGGGUUCUGAGAGGAAGGUCCCCCACACUGGUACUGAGACACGGACCAGACUCCUACGGGAGGCAGCAGUGAGGAAUAUUGGUCAAUGGGCGGGAGCCUGAACCAGCCAAGUCGCGUGAGGGAAGACGGUCCUAUGGAUUGUAAACCUCUUUUGCCGGGGAGCAACGGGGUCCUUGCGAGGGCCUAAUGAGAGUACCCGGAGAAAAAGCAUCGGCUAACUCCGUGCCAGCAGCCGCGGUAAUACGGAGGAUGCGAGCGUUAUCCGGAUUUAUUGGGUUUAAAGGGUGCGUAGGCGGGCUGUUAAGUCAGCGGUCAAAUGUCGGGGCUCAACCCCGGCCUGCCGUUGAAACUGGCGGCCUCGAGUGGGCGAGAAGUAUGCGGAAUGCGUGGUGUAGCGGUGAAAUGCAUAGAUAUCACGCAGAACUCCGAUUGCGAAGGCAGCAUACCGGCGCCCUACUGACGCUGAGGCACGAAAGCGUGGGUAUCGAACAGGAUUAGAUACCCUGGUAGUCCACGCAGUAAACGAUGAAUGCUAGCUGUCCGGUUCUACGGGACUGG